GGAAAAGUUUUCAUUGGUAAGAUACCCUUCCUGCUAAGAAGGCACUAUAUUUAGUUUGUGGGUUCGAUUCCCACCUUUUCCG
rfam:Monosiga brevicollis mitochondrion, complete genome.